rnacentral:tRNA from 1 species
GCCCUAGUGGCGGAAUUGGUAGACGCGCACGACUCAAAAUCGUGUGUCCAAAAGGCGUGGGGGUUCGAUUCCCUCCUGGGGCA